UAACACGCGUGGCGACGCUGUGCCUUGUGCAUCGCAAGAUAGUGAUGAGUUAUCACUUGGUUAAGCCGGGGAGGGUGUAAGAGAUUGCCACGGUCUCAUCCCUCUCCGGUUUUGCUAU
rnacentral:ncRNA from 1 species